rnacentral:lncRNA from 1 species
UGGGGUGUAUUACUACCCCAGUGACUGAAAUAUCCUUGUAUGCGUGUAUCAUAUUUCUGCUCAAUUUCUAUCAAAAUUCUUCAAUACCUCCCCCAACAAAGAUGAAGUCAGGCUAUGUUUUCUCCUCUGUUUGUUAGUUAAUUUGUCUGUUGUUCACCAGGAUUACGACACGACAAAAGUUACAGAUCAAUUUUGAACUAACUUUAUAAAGAAGAUUAUAAGGGCUGCGGUAUCUUUUCGAGUCGUGGAAACAAACUGAACUAAAAACAUCUUAACUUUCCAAAAAAUGUAUUUAUCAACAAACAGUUUUUUUGGAGUACAGCGUCUGAACCACGAGCAGGCCUUGGUAACGACAUCCUUGAGAAGGUGGCUGUUGAUAAGAUCCUCCCUGCUCUUACAUACAGCCAUGUUUUGUAUCUCUCCGCCACACCCCACACAUAUAAGUCCAUAAGGUUAGAGUCAGCUAUGGCUCUCAUGGACUGCUCGGAGUUGAUAUGGUGGAUAUCCUCAUGAGGACUACGUCUCGUUUCUACCCCUGGGAGACUGUAAAUAGAUACAUACCGCUGGCGACAGCUGAAAAAUCUCCAUACUACUAAUUAGCUAAUUUGGCUUAAGGUCAAUAUUCCAUUUUGUGUUUGAAAUAUGAGCUGCCAAACUCAGGACUCAAUUAUCCCUUUAUAUCGUCACAGUAAGAGGCCAUUAAUUUUGGAGAGAUAUUAUAAAACGUGGCUAUUUAGGAUCCAAAAUGGACAACGUCAACAGCGUCACAUCUCUAAAUAUAAGUUCAACCCAUCAACGUUCAGCACUAAUAAACAGGGAUGGGAGAGUUGAAUAAUUCGCAGCUGACAAAGAAUACGAUAUUAAAUUUAUAUGUAAGUGAUAUUGUUUGUUAUAUAAUCGUUUAAAUAUAUUAAUUAGUAAAGGAACGACGUCGAAAUAAUU